rnacentral:lncRNA from 1 species
GUUGAUGCCAUAACCAAGUACUGUGGAGACAUCAAAAGAAUGAAGACAAAGAAAACAUACAGAAUUGGAAGCCCUGCCUCCCCAAGGCACAGACAGAGUCUCCUCCAUCUUACUUGAGCUCCACCAAACUCAGGAAGCAUGCAAAUACUUUCAUCCUGCCAGCUUCACUCUGGAACUUUGCUUUCUUGGCUACUACGGAAAAAACAACGUUCAUAAUUUUACACAGAAAUCAGUGACAUGCGUAGAAAGAAAAUAGAACAGAAGGUAGAAACCUGCGUUCUGGAAUUAGACUGCUGGCGUUUAGAGCUCAUCUCUGCCACUAACCACUUAUAUGAUGUUAGGCAAAUUAGUUUAUCUCUCUGUGCUACUAUUUUCUCAAAAGUAAAAUGUGAGUUGCAAUGUAGUUUGUUUAACUCGAAAAUUUUGAGAUUUGAAUAUAACAUUCAAACGCUAAGAUGUGUACCUGACACAGAAUAAAUGCUCAAUAACAAUAAUCUCUUUUUUAAAAAUGCACAAAAUGUAGAAAGCAAUACAUUGAAUUCCAUUCUUUAAAACGAGCACAUAUCUAAAUGCUGAGUAAUUUCUUACGGAGACCUUACAGAUACAGUUCUUUUUCUAUUGUUUCCCCGGAGUUAUUCAGAAAAGCAUUUUCUUUAAGCAAGUUCUAAUGGCUGUCACUAUGAUUUAAAGCUUUCUACAGAAUCUUUCACAUAGGGUAUGCCUGCCUAAAUUACUUUGGACCUAAUUUUAGAUAAACUU